rnacentral:rRNA from 1 species
AAGUCGAACGAAUUACCUUCGGGUAGUUAGUGGCGCACGGGUGCGUAACGCGUGGGAAUCUGCCCCUUGGUUCGGAAUAACAGUUGGAAACGACUGCUAAUACCGGAUGAUGACGUAAGUCCAAAGAUUUAUCGCCGAGGGAUGAGCCCGCGUAGGAUUAGGUAGUUGGUGUGGUAAAGGCGCACCAAGCCGACGAUCCUUAGCUGGUCUGAGAGGAUGAUCAGCCACACUGGGACUGAGACACGGCCCAGACUCCUACGGGAGGCAGCAGUGGGGAAUAUUGGACAAUGGGCGAAAGCCUGAUCCAGCAAUGCCGCGUGAGUGAUGAAGGCCUUAGGGUUGUAAAGCUCUUUUACCCGGGAUGAUAAUGACAGUACCGGGAGAAUAAGCUCCGGCUAACUCCGUGCCAGCAGCCGCGGUAAUACGGAGGGAGCUAGCGUUAUUCGGAAUUACUGGGCGUAAAGCGCACGUAGGCGGCUUUGUAAGUAAGAGGUGAAAGCCCAGANCUCAACUCUGGAAUUGCCUUUUAGACUGCAUCGCUUGAAUCAUGGAGAGGUCAGUGGAAUUCCNAGUGUAGAGGUGAAAUUCG